rnacentral:rRNA from 1 species
UCUGGUUGAUUCUGCCAGUAGUCAUAUGCUUGUCUCAAAGAUUAAGCCAUGCAUGUCUAAGUUUAAGCGAUUAAACGGUGAAACUGCGAAUGGCUCAUUAAAUCAGUUAUCGUUAUUGAUAGUACCUUACUACAUGGAUACCUGUGUAAUUCUAGAGCUAAUACAUGCUGAAAACCCCAACUUCGGAAGGGUGUAUUUAUAGAUAAAAAACCAAUGCCCUUCGGGCUCCUUGGUGAUUCAUAAUAACUUAACGAAUCGCAUGGCCUUGCGCCGCGAUGGUUCAUUCAAAUUCUGCCCUAUCAACUUUCGAUGGUAGGAUAGUGCCUACCAUGGUGGCAACGGUAACGGGAAUUAGGUUCGAUCCGGAAGGAGCCUGAGAAACGGCUACCACAUCCAAGGAAGCAGCAGGCGCGCAAAUUACCCAAUCCCGACACGGGAGUAGUGACAAUAAAUACUGAUACGGGCUCUUUCGGUCUCGUAAUUGGAAUGAGUACAAUUAAACCCCUUAACGAGGAACAAUUGGAGGCAAGUCUGGUGCCAGCAGCCGCGUAAUUCCAGCUCCAAUAGCGUAUAUUAAAGUUGUUGCAGUUAAAAAGCCGUAGUUGAACCUUGGGUCUGGCUGGCCGGUCCGCCUCACCGCGAGUACUGGUCCGGCUGGACCUUUCCUUCUGGGGAACCUCAUGGCCUUCACUGGCUGUGGGGGAACCAGGACUUUUACUGUGAAAAAAUUAGAGUGUUCAAAGGCCUUUGCUCGAAUACAUUAGCAUGGAAUAAUAGAAUAGGACGUGCGUUCUAUUUUGUUGGUUUCUAGGACCGCCGUAAUGAUUAAUAGGGAUAGUCGGGGCGUCAGUAUUCAGCUGUCAGAGGUGAAAUUCUUGGAUUUGCUGAAGACUAACUACUGCGAAAGCAUUCGCCAAGGAUGUUUUCAUUAAUCAGGGAACGAAAGUUAGGGGAUCGAAGACGAUCAGAUACCGUCGUAGUCUUAACCAUAAACUAUGCCGACUAGGGAUCGGACGUGUUUCUAUUAUGACCCGUUCGGCACCUUACGAGAAAUCAAAGUUUUGGGUUCUGGGGGGAAUGGUCGCAAGGCUGAAACUUAAAGAAAUUGACGG